rnacentral:misc_RNA from 1 species
UGUCGAUGAAGAGCGCAGCCAACUGUGUGAAUUAAUGUGAACUGCCUACUGCUUUGAACAUCGACAUCUUGAACGCAUAUUGCGGCCAUGGGUUUUCCUGUGGCCACGCCUGUCCGAGGGUCGGCUUAUAAACUAUCACGACGCCCAAAAAGUCGUGGAUUGGGUCUUGCCAGCUGGCGUGAUUUCCCUGUGCUGUUGUGCGGGGUGCCAGAUCUAUGGCUUUUCCCUAAUGUGCCGGACGCAACCAUAUCUGGGCUGACUGCCUAGGUGAGGGAGUGGCGGCGGAGUCGUGGCUCAAUGAUAUUGUACGUGGUAAAUGUGCACGCUCCGUUGCCUGUUCUUCAUCUUGGGUUGAAGCUUUGUCUAUGGCAAUGCAUCUGUUGUUUGUUUUGCACUCCUGUGCUUAACCUUCCUGACCUCGGAUCAGACGUGAAU